GUGCUCCCCAUAAAUUUUUUCAGUUGAAACUCACAGACCCAAAUGCCACGCAACAGCAGAGAGGCAAGCGAAAGGAGGAGACCCAGCACGACCAGGCACUGGAGAAAUGGAAGAAGCGUUUUUCCAGCUUUACCAAGAAUUCACACAACUGCAGGAUUUAUGUGCAAAGCAGGCUGAGUUGCUACAGAAGUUGAUUGUGAAGAAGGAACCAAUGACUGACAUGCCAAUUUCGAUGCCAAUCCAGUGCACGGACGACGGGGGAUUAGCACAAUCAGAGAGACUCUUCUUCCAACAGCAGUUACCAAAGGUUCCCAGCUCUAUCCUUUCCAACCCAACAGUUCCUACAUGGCCCAACUCCGCAGUUCUUCGGGACCAGCCACAAGAUGCAGACAUGGUUUCUCGUUUUGAUAUUAAAUACCCCCCGAGUGCAGCAAACGCCAGCUUGUUAAGCAGUGCCAAGGGGAAGGCAGAUUUCGCAAUAGCACUUUCCAGCCAGAACCACUACAAACAGCACAUGGGCAAGAAGGCGGCUUGUGACACGCUGUUGAAAAAUUAUACGACAUUUCCUGCCUUGAAAGCGGACAAGGAACAAUCCACAGCCCCUCCCAUACCUCCAGAGCUUGCUACCUUAAAUCCGGAGGAUGUAGGCUCUUUUCCCAGUUUCUUGGAUCUUUAUGAAGCACCACAAGAUUUACAGACGGAAAGUACUUCCCUUCAAGCAGCAGAAAUUAAAGUUCCUAUAGAAAUACGAGGACCCACACAGCCUCUUCCAAAGAACUUCAUCCAAAGCCUUUUGAAAAAUAGAUGAUUUGGGCCAUCUAGGACUUCCUGGACUCCAGGAUGGGCGGUAGAAGACAGUCCACUUGGUCACAGCGGGAAUUUUGAACUCCAAGGGUACUCUGCAUACACAGACCUGUGAGUUUUGCCAAAUCAUUUUCCCAGCUGGGGAAGCAGCACAAGGAGACUAUGACAAGCAUCUCAUAGCUCAUAUCGAAUAGGAUUGGUAUCAUCAUGUACUUGUAACCCGCUUACGGAGGAUGGCUUUCCGUCCCCCUUUAGUGGCUGGACAACAUAAGGGUUAUGAGCCUGCUAUAGAACUGUUGGAAUAAGUGACUUCUUGACUCAGUGGCUGAACAAAAACACUGUGAAAAAACAUUUUGGUUUGGUUUGACCCGAAAUGAAAAUGUUUCCAUUUUUCCAGCCGAGCUCAAAAAGUAAAAAAGAAUUUGUUUUGAAUUGAACGAAACAUUUUAUUUCCUGUCUGAGUUUUUAUCUUUUUCAUCUUUUUCAAAUAGCAAUUUGAAAUGCUCAGAUGAAAUGUUUCAUUUUGGAAAUGAAAAAAAUGAACCAUUUCAGCAUUUCUGAGUUUUUUGAUAUUUUUGAUAUUUGACCCAAUUUGCUAUUCACUAAAAUUGACCCAAAUUUGUGAAUUGUUUCCAUCAGCCCAAAUCUGCAUUUUUUUUUGGUGGCAGCGGAAAUGAAUCACACAAAAUGUAGAUUGUUGAGCUCUGUUGGCUUUGAGCUGGAUCUUUUAGCUAGGCAGUUGUGGCUCAGAUGUUUGUGCUGGCAAAGAGAAAAUAAUAUCUGCUUCUCCUCCCAGAAAUGGAACCUCUCCAAUAAAGGAAUGUCCAAGCUUGUUAAGUCUCUUAAACCAUGUUCUGUCAUGCGUUGGUGGCAACCAGCCUCUUAAUCACCCUUGUAACUUAAAAAAAAAAAGAAAAAGAAAGGAAGAAUUUAUAUUGAGCUGGACUUCGAAGUCACCAAUAUAAGGGGCGGUAAUUAAAUCGGACAUUCGUUAGACAUAAAGCGUCUAACCUUUCCUCCUGCUCUGAUAUGCCAUUAAGGCUCUGACCAUCUAGCACCAAAUGUGAAUGUAGCAGAGAUUCUGGAUGAAAGCGGGUGUAUACGGUGAUAGAUGAUAUUAGUGCCACUGUGACUUAUUCAAAUGCCAAGUUAUAUUUAUAAUUUAUCAAAAUACCCAGGCUUUUCUUUGGGGAGAUUAAUGACAGUUUCGUGUAUUUUUUGGGUGUGAGUCAUUGAUCGCAGGAGCUUUUUCCAUGCAACAAAAAUGAUUAGGGGGCUGGAACACAUGACUUAGGAGGAGAGGCUGAGGGAACUGGGAUUGUUUAGUCUCCAGAACAGA